AAGAUCGAAAAAGAUAAAAACAUAUCUGAUGGGUUGCCUCCCAUUAAGCGCUUCUUUACAGUCAUUAGCUUGACGCAUCACCAAUCGUUAGGGUGGCAUAUAUGACAAAAAGAACACAUCAUCCUUCUUCUUCCUCUUGUUUGGUAGGAAUUCCAUGAAGUUGACAUAAAGAGUCAAGUGCUCCCAUCCUCUAACAUUCAAGCCUUGGUAAUAUGUGCUCUUCCACUUUAGAGAAGAAUAAUGCUCCUUUUAAAAGUGACAUUCCUUUUUACUUUGCAUUGGUAGAGACUCACAUGUCGCAUAGAGAUCAACAUUUUUCACUCUUGAGUUCUCUUUCAUGCCAUUAUUUUUGUUUUUUGAAUUUUCUUCUUCUACCACAAUAGCAUGAUGUUUCAUCUCUAUCUCAACCAACUUCUUCUCACACUCAUUUGCUUUCUCCAUGAGAUUAUCACAUUGCACUUCAAAUCUAUCAAAGGGAACUUGAUUGCACCUCCAGAAUUCAUCCAGAAUACUUUCGAGUUGUGAAUUGUAAUUAAUCAUGAUCACUUGUGGCUCUUCAUCUUUACUACAGGGUUUUUUAUUAUAUUCGCAAUCAUGAUUNNNNNNNNNNAUAAACACACCUCUCCUUUAGCUUCUUCAUAUCUAUCUCCCUGUAUUUUUCCUCAAGUCUUGAUCUCAAUAAUUGAUAACGAAGAAUGCCUAUUUCUUCACUAUCGAUCAAUAUAUUCUCAUACCAUAUUCUUGUCAUUACUACAAAACUCAAGGAAACUUUUCAGUAGCAAAGCACAAUGAAAUAAACAUGAAGUGGAAAAGAUUUUUUAUAUACAAAAUAAAAUAAAAAUAACAGAAAAAAA
rnacentral:lncRNA from 1 species